rnacentral:rRNA from 1 species
CAGUAGCCGCGGUAAUACGUAGGUGGCUAGCGUUGCUCGGAAUCACUGGGCGUAAAGGGUGCGUAGGCGGGUCUUUAAGUCAGGGGUGAAAUCCUGGAGCUCAACUCCAGAACUGCCUUUGAUACUGAAGAUCUUGAGUUCGGGAGAGGUGAGUGGAACUGCGAGUGUAGAGGUGAAACUCGUAGAUAUUCGCAAGAACACCAGUGGCGAAGGCGGCUCACUGGCCCGAUACUGACGCUGAGGCACGAAAGCGUGGGGAGCAAACAGGAUUAGAUACCCCGGUAGUCCCUGUCUCUUAUAC